UACUCAACAAAGAAAAAGAAAGAUAAAAGAAGCAACUUUUGCUUAAAACGCUUCAUUUUCAUAUUCGGUAUUUUAAUUUCCGUUCGGGAAUAAAGCUUAGAGUUUUAAUUUUGAAUUUGAAUUUCUGGUCCUAUUGUUAGAAAAAAAAUAUAGAAAUAUUAAGCAUGGCUGAAGUUUUGGGGAAGUCAAAUCUAUUUACAACUUACUAUAGUCAGAAGAAGAAUCAAGAAGGUGGCGUUCCUUUGUUUUCCAGGAGAAUCUCUGCGUUUUGUUUGAGAAAGAAUAGAACCUCAAGCUUUGAGGAGUGGUUUUUUUUUAGAGAAAAGAGGUCUAAAUGAGAGAAGGUUCUGUCGAGUUCCCAUUAAAGCACAGCAGCAUAAAUCAGCUAAUGCAACAAAAAAAGUGAGUAGAUCAAUUUCGGCUUGUUAAAGGUGAUCUGUUGGUAUUUUUCUUUGUUCAUGGAUGAAGAAUAAUGUGUUUUGAGGUUGUUAUGGGAGUUGGAACUUUGAUUGACUCAACCCUUUGGAAAUAAAAAAAAGGUAACAUCUUUAGCCAAUCGCCACUUUUCAGUUUAAGCAUAGUUUUUAUAUUGAAAUUACUAUUCCAAUUUGUUUGCUCUCUACUCCUAGUAAAUCAGGACCAGCCUUCACAUGAAUUUUCACUAUUUUUGUUUAGUAUAUCAAGUUUGAUGAAUACUGUAAUGGAACAAUGUUGUCAAAUAUUUUUCUUCAGUCCUUCAAUGGAUGGUUUCAUUGCUGAAUUUGGAUGGAAAAUUCUUAUGUUGUCUACCCUGUCAGUUUGCCCUCAUUAACAGCUCAUCUUCAAGCUUCAGUACCCCUAUUAAUAAGUUUUAAGUUUAAAUGUCUCCAUUUUCAGACCUUUAAAACAAAAAAAAAUCUAUUUUGUGUCGUAUAUACAUUUCUUCACUUCUCCUAUGAAUUAAACCUAGAGAUCAAGGAAGCAAAUCAACGGAUAAUUUGGUGUACUAAUUUUCCAAGACAUCACCAGCAGUAAAAGAAAUGUGAAAAAAAAUGGAGUUACCCAAACGAAAAAAAAGAUAAACUCACCGGUGGUGGAGAGAAGAGGAACAAAGAACCAGAGGCUUUUGAGAAGUGGAGAAGAGGAACAAAGAACCAACACCAACAGAGGAACAAAGAACCAGCGCCAGCAGUGGAACAAAGAAUCAGCGCCAGAGGAACACCAGCACCAGCAGAGAACCAACAGAGAACAAAAUUUGGAGAAAAAAAAGUAACCGUCGGGAACACCAACACCAACAGAGAAUAACCAACCUUAUUUCUUUCUCAAAUGUGUGUGACUAAAAAUGUAAAAGAACAGCCCAAAAGCACUUUUUAGCUGGAAAAGCUAAAUUUUUCUACUUUUCAUCUGCUCAAAAGUACUUGCAAUAAGUUAAAAUUUUGGUACUAAAUGAAGUGUGUUUUUUAUUA